UACGUAGGGUGCGAGCGUUGUCCGGAAUUAUUGGGCGUAAAGGGCUCGUAGGCGGUUUGUCGCGUCGGGAGUGAAAUCCACUGGCUUAACUGGUGGCUUGCUUUCGAUACGGGCAGACUGGAGGUAUGCAGGGGAGAACGGAAUUCCUGGUGUAGCAGUGAAAUGCGCAGAUAUCAGGAGGAACACCGGUGGCGAAGGCGGUUCUCUGGCAUGUCCUGACGCUGAGGAGCGAAAGUGUGGGGAGCGAACAGG
rnacentral:rRNA from 1 species